AAGAAGAAGUGAGACGAAGGUCAAAGGCUCAGACCUGGUGAGCACCUCUUCUUAACUGCAGAAUAAAAAGUCAUAUGUUAAAAAACUUCGAAUGAAGCUUAUUAAAAGUGAACAUACAACACUAUGAACAUUACCAACAAUCCAAAUAAACUGAAUUUACUCCUAAUUCCCUAUCAAAUAGAUUUAAGCCAUAAAAAGAGAAAAUAAACAAUUUAAGCAAUUAAAUUAUACAUGUAAGAGCAAUCUGUAAUGGAUCAAUCACAAACCCAAAAUUUGGCAUACAAUUAUGUUGCACUUUCAAUUAAGAUACGAUACUAUAGAUUGAAUUAUCACAGAACCCUUUUCCAAAUACCUCACAUUGCAGAUAAACCAAUAAAAUAAUAAACAAAUUGCAUUCAUUUAUUAUCCUUUAUAAAGACCAAAAGAAAGAAGAAAAAAAAUUCAAAACCCACCAACAUAUGAAUGAACACAGAGGGCUCAAUAUCAAAUGCAUCAUUCAGGUCAUAAAUUAAAGAACCAAUAAUUCAAAUAGAAUCAGAGUUGGGUUUGGCUACCUCCAAGAAAAAGAAAAAAAUUAAACAAAAAAACAAAAAAGGCAGAGAAGAAGAAAAA
rnacentral:misc_RNA from 1 species